GACGAACGCUGGCGGCGUGCCUAACACAUGCAAGUCGAACGGAGCUAUUGACUUCGGUUGAUAGCUUAGUGGCGAACGGGUGAGUAACGCGUGAGCAACCUGUCUUUCAGAGGGGGAUAACAACGAGAAAUCGUUGCUAAUACCGCAUAAGACCACACUGUCGCAUGGCAGAGGGGUAAAAGGAGCAAUCCGCUGAUUGAGGGGCUCGCGUCCCAUUAGAUAGUAGGUGAGGUAACGGCUCACCUAGUCUGCGAUGGGUAGCCGAGCUGAGAGGCUGAACGGCCACACUGGAACUGAGACACGGUCCAGACUCCUACGGGAGGCAGCAGUGGGGAAUAUUGGGCAAUGGGCGAAAGCCUGACCCAGCAACGCCGCGUGAGGGAAGAAGGUUUUCGGAUUGUAAACCUCUGUUCUUGGUGACGAAAAGAUGACGGUAGCCAAGGAGAAAAGCCCCGGCUAACUACGUG
rnacentral:rRNA from 1 species